rnacentral:misc_RNA from 1 species
AACGCACAUUGCGCCUCCUUCACGGGGGGCAUGCCUGUCUGAGUGUCAUUUAAACCAAAUGGACCUAUAUAGGUUCCGUGUUGGGCCUCGCUCUUCCAAGAGCGUCGCCUCGAGGCCAUUGGUCUGAUGUGCGGGCGAGUUCCUCUAGGACGGACCGCGCUGUGGACCGCGAGACUUUCUGAUUUUGACCUCAGAUCAGGUAGGGACACCGCCUGAACUUAA